rnacentral:rRNA from 1 species
AGUGAACGCUGGCGGUAGGCCUAACACAUGCAAGUCGAACGGCAGCACAGUAAGAGCUUGCUCUUACGGGUGGCGAGUGGCGGACGGGUGAGGAAUACAUCGGAAUCUACUUUUUCGUGGGGGAUAACGUAGGGAAACUUACGCUAAUACCGCAUACGACCUACGGGUGAAAGCAGGGGAUCUUCGGACCUUGCGCGAUUGAAUGAGCCGAUGUCGGCUUAGCUAGUUGGCGGGGUAAAGGCCCACCAAGGCGACGAUCCGUAGCUGGUCUGAGAGGAUGAUCAGCCACACUGGAACUGAGACACGGUCCAGACUCCUACGGGAGGCAGCAGUGGGGAAUAUUGGACAAUGGGCGCAAGCCUGAUCCAGCCAUACCGCGUGGGUGAAGAAGGCCUUCGGGUUGUAAGGCCCUUUUGUUGGGAAAGAAAAGCAGCAGGUUAAUACCCCGCUGUUCUGACGGUACCCAAAGAAUAAGCACCGGCUAACUUCGUG